rnacentral:rRNA from 1 species
GAUGAACGCUGGCGGCGUGCCUAAUACAUGCAAGUCGAGCGAACAGAUGAGGAGCUUGCUCCUCUGACGUUAGCGGCGGACGGGUGAGUAACACGUGGAUAACCUACCUAUAAGACUGGGAUAACUUCGGGAAACCGGAGCUAAUACCGGAUAAUAUAUUGAACCGCAUGGUUCAAUAGUGAAAGACGGUUUUGCUGUCACUUAUAGAUGGAUCCGCGCCGCAUUAGCUAGUUGGUAAGGUAACGGCUUACCAAGGCAACGAUGCGUAGCCGACCUGCGAGGGUGAUCGGCCGCACUGGGACUGAGACACGGUCCAGACUCCUACGGGAGGCAGCAGUAGGGAAUCUUCCGCAAUGGGCGGAAGCCUGACGGAGCAACGCCGCGUGAGUGAUGAAGGGCUUCGGAUCGUAAAACUCUGUUAUUAGGGAAGAACAAAUGUGUAAGUAACUAUGCACGUCUUGACGGUACCUAAUCAGAAAGCCACGGCCAACUUCGUGC